GUCGCGCUGCAAGAACAACAUGGCACGGGUUCAAAGCCUUAUUCAACUGAGAAAAUUGAUCAGCGUCAUGGUACAAGCGAAGUCUGAAUGGUUUGUUUCCCUGUUUCUUCUGCCUUGGCUGCACCAGCUGUGGAAACCAGGCCUGGUGAGGACCCUCUCCUCCAUCCUCAACUAUUGAACCUCUUAUAUCACUCGGAUGAGGUGUUCUGGAUCCAGACUGGAGCUUGUGUAAAUCCUAGUUACCACGGGAUGAAGAUCCCAGCCGAAACAGAGAAACAAAUAGAGACAUCAUAAGCAUAGCUGUACUUUAGGACAGACCAGCCUGUGAUCUCCUAAGACACCCAGAUUCAGCCCUGGUCACGAUCUGUCCCACACCUGUGUCUCCUCACAGUCCAUCGCCAGUGUCUGCACCCUGCACACUGCCAAUAUUAUGGAUUUCUGUUCUGGAGAGAGAUGCCAUUCACAACAUAAUCUCUACACAAUAUCAAACUCAAAUAAUUUAGUCUUGCCUAACAGUUUCCCUGAUUUGUUACUGUUCACAAUGUAGCAUGGUCUUGCCUACCUUUGUCCAUUCAGUUAUUAAAAUGUUUUUAAUAUUUGUAUUGAAUAUAUCUCAAGGUUAUUAUUUAAAAGCAACUUCACUUGAUCUUUCCCUAGAAGAGAUAAUAGGUGUGUUUGACUUGAAGCAGUGCUGUGCAGACCGAUCGAAGUAUGACAUCACGGUACCAUGAGAGCAAUAAGACGGCUUAAUAUAUAGGUCCUUCUCAAAAAAUUAGCAUAUUGUGAUAAAAGUUCAUUAUUUCCAUAAUGUAAUGAUAAAAAUUAAACUUUCAUAUAUUUUAGAUUCAUUGCACACCAACUGAAAUAUUUCAGGUCUUUUAUUGUUUUAAUACUGAUGAUUUUAGCAUACAGCUCAUGAAAACCCCAAAUUCCUAUCUCAAAAAAUUAGCAUAUUUCAUCCGG